AUCCUUCUGUAGUUGUAAGUCUGAAAACUUGGUUUUCACGCUCGUGUGUGAGAUGUGCCUCUUUCAUACCUUGUUACAACGUCAGCUCAUUAACUGUCUGGCA
ensembl:snoRNA